CUUUUUUUCUUUCUUUUCCAUUUUUAUCCUUGUCUCCUCUCCUCUCUGUUCUUUCUCUCUUGUCCGAAUACAUCACUGCCAUUUCCUCUCUUUUGCUUUUCAUUUUCCUACAAAAGAACUCAUGAUUCAUCUUCUUUAAAUCAAAUCUAAGCUUGAACUCUUAAAGAUUAAAAUUAAACGUGGGGAUUUAAGUUGUGAUUUUGAAGAAAACUUCAAGAUUUCUUUUAACAAGUUCAAGUAAGCAGAGAGUUUAUAUUUGAGUUCGGAUUUGGAAUUAGUUGAGGGUUUUAUUUUUUCCCAUCUCAUACAUGGUUUCUGUGAUUUUCUUUUGUUAUGAUUUUUGGAUUUCUCUUGGAUUAGAGAAGAUGGACCCUCUAGGUUAGACUAAGGGAAAGCUAAGUGUAAUUGGUGAUUUUAAGCUUCCUAAAGCUUAAUUAAGAGGUUGUAGACUCGGGAGUGUUGUUUGGAGUCCAGAUCCAACUUUAGAGCCAAAGACUUCAUAUUGGUGGAAAUAACUUAUUCUGUUUUGGUUUAUGUAUUAAAUAUGACAUGUAAAUUUGAAAUAUCGGAGAUUGUAUCUAAUUAGAGAUUUAUGUAUUAACUUAAGUCUUAGGAAGAUUAUGUAUUAUGACUUAGAAUCUUUUAUGAUGAAUGUAUAUUAUAUUAUGGAUUUUAGUUUAAGUAUAUUGUAUAGAUAUCACAUAAGCUUUUGUUGAUUAUGAAUUGAUAUUGGAGUA